rnacentral:rRNA from 1 species
GACGAACGCUGGCGGCGUGCUUAACACAUGCAAGUCGAACGGAAAGGCCCUGCUUUUGUGGGGUGCUCGAGUGGCGAACGGGUGAGUAACACGUGAGUAACCUGCCCUUGACUUUGGGAUAACUUCAGGAAACUGGGGCUAAUACCGGAUAGGAGCUCCUGCUGCAUGGUGGGGGUUGGAAAGUUUCGGCGGUUGGGGAUGGACUCGCGGCUUAUCAGCUUGUUGGUGGGGUAGUGGCUUACCAAGGCUUUGACGGGUAGCCGGCCUGAGAGGGGGACCGGGCACAUUGGGACUGAGAUACGGUCCAGAAUCCUACGGGAGGCAGCAGUGGGGAAUAUUGCACAAUGGGCGGAAGCCUGAUGCAGUAACGCCGCGUGCGGGAUGAUGGCCUUCGGGUUGUAAACCGCUUUGGACGGUGACGAAGCGUGAGUGACGGUAAUGGGUAAAGAAGCACCGGCUAACUACGUG